UGAAGAACCUGGCACAGCUGAACGAC
rnacentral:piRNA from 2 species